GAUAAACGCUGGCGGCGUGCCUAACACAUGCAAGUCGAACGUCCUUUUGUUUUUCGGAACGAGAGGGAGUGGCGGACGGGUGAGUAACACAUGGGUGACCUACCCCACAGUGAGGGAUACCGGCGAGAAAUCGCCGACAAGCCCGCAUGGGUUCGCUCUGGUGGAGUGGAGCGAGCAAAGUUUUCUGCGAAGGAGACGCUGAGGGAUGGGCCUGUGGCCGAUUAGCUGGUUGGUGGGGUAAGAGCCUACCAAGGCGACGAUCGGUAGCUG
rnacentral:rRNA from 1 species